AAAUAAGAAGCAAUUCAUUGCAAUUAGUUUCGACCUAAUCUUUGAUAUUAAAUUAUCCUUAUUUA
rnacentral:tRNA from 1 species